rnacentral:rRNA from 1 species
UACGUAGGUGACUAGCGUUGUUCCGGAUUUAUUGGGCGUAAAGAGCGUGUACGGCGGCCAGGUAGGUCUGCUGUGAAAACUCGAGGCUUAACCUCGAGCUGUCGGCGGAAACCAUCUGGCUAAAGUCCGGAAGAGGAGAAUGGAAUUCCCGGUGUAGCGGUGAAAUGCGCAGAUAUCGGGAGGAACACCGGUGGCGAAGGCGGUUCUCUGGGCCUUACCUGACGCUGAGGAGCGAAAGCGUGGGGAGCGAACAGG